CCUACGGGGGGCAGCAGUGGGGAAUAUUGCUCAAUGGGGGAAACCCUGAAGCAGCAACGCCGCGUGGAGGAUGAAGGUUUUCGGAUUGUAAACUCCUUUUGUUAGAGAAGAUAAUGACGGUAUCUAACGAAUAAGCACCGGCUAACUCCGUGCCAGCAGCCGCGGUAAUACGGAGGGUGCAAGCGUUACUCGGAAUCACUGGGCGUAAAGGGCUCGUAGGCGGGAUAGCAAGUCAGAUGUGAAAUCCUAUGGCUUAACCAUAGAACUGCAUUUGAAACUGUUAUUCUAGAGUAUGGGAGAGGUAGGUGGAAUUCUUGGUGUAGGGGUGAAAUCCGUAGAGAUCAAGAGGAAUACUCAUUGCGAAGGCGACCUGCUAGAACAUAACUGACGCUGAUGCGCGAAAGCGUGGGGAGCAAACAGGAUUAGAUACCCCGGUAGUC
rnacentral:rRNA from 1 species